CCGAGAAGCCAGCUAGCCAAGAACAAAUCCGCACAAAAGCCCCUGGCAGCCAAGUGCAAGACCUGAAGCGCCCUGCGGAGUAGAUGCCGAAGAGUCGAGAGGGGCCAAAGAGAAUGGUUCCUCGGCUGGUGGUGUUACCGCUGACCAGGAGACUGCAAGCCAGGGCAGCUGGGAGAACAGCAAUGGCAGCACCAGUACCGCUGCCAGCAGUACUGGUGGCAGCAACAGCGCAGCUGCCAAGGAGGCCAGGCUGCAGGCAAAGAUGUACGCCCCUCUGGUGCCCAAGGUCGUCGACCACCCACUGUCUUCUCGACAGCUGAGCAAGAAAUCUGUGGGCCACGGAAACCAGCCCCUGGUUCAGGCCUUAUUGUGGGACGAGUAUGAGCGGUCGAAGCUGAUUUCGUCAGGUUUCCCGCUGGUGUCAGCAAAGCAGUUCGCAGUGCAGGCAGUCUGCUUUCUCUGUGGAAGUGCUGGGGAAGAAGAGCUGUUGUUUUGCACUGUAUGCUGUGAGCCAUACCACUGGUUCUGCCUUGAGACCGAAGAAGUGCCACAGCCAGGCAUGGACCGAGAGUGCUGGUGUUGCCCUAGGUGUCAAGCCUGCAUCGUCUGUGGACACCGGAGUAGUCAACUUUUGAGGUGCAACAAGUGCCAGCAAAUGUACCACACGGACUGCUUGGGCCCAGGCUAUCCUUCAAAGCCAUCCAGGAAAAAGAAAAUCUGGGUCUGCAUCAAGUGCAUAUGCUGCAAAAGUUGCGGAGCCACUUCAUCCAAAAACUCUUCGUGGAACUUCGACCUCUCGUUGUGCCAUGAGUGCAUGCUUCUCCGAGAAAAAGGAAACUAUUGUCCACUCUGUGAAAAGUGCUAUGAAGACGACGAUUAUGAGUCAAUGAUGGUCCAGUGUUCCCAGUGCCAAAAAUGGAUUCAUGCUCGCUGCGACGGCAUAUCAGAGGAGUUGUACCAGGUGCUGUCCCUGUUGCCCGAGACGGAGCUGUACCUGUGUCGGCUGUGCGAGCCAGACUCUCCCCGCCUGUGGCUUGGCACGGCUGAGCGCGUCCUGCAGGAACGGCUGCGCUGUAUCAUGAGCUCCCUGGUAGAACUGCAGAAAGCAUCGAAGGACCGCUGCCAAGUGUUGGAGCAGGCGGUGCCCACACCUCCGGAUCUCAUGGCGUCGCCGGAUGAAACACAGGACAAAGACGGUCCAUUGGACUCCACUCAGCCAACCGCAGCGCUUGCAAGAACAGAACUUCACUUCGUGGAUCUUGUCAAGGUGCAGCGAAGGCUCGAGUGUGGGGAGUACACAACCGUGAAGGAGUUUUGCGAAGACGUCCUGCAGGCUACCACAGACAGCCGGGUCUCGGUGCAAAUGGUCCGGGACCUGCUAGGAAAGCUCCUGGAGGAGGCAUUUCCAAACCUGCGGCCCUCCCCGCUGCCGCCCACGCCUCCGCAUGAGCCCAGUGCUCUGCUGGGGGCUCCCGGAUCCCUUCUGUUGGCAGACGCAGUGCUGCCCCCUCACGGGGACCACUUGUAUGCCCAGUGCCAGGCAAGGCCCAAUGGAAACGGGCCCCCCGAACCACAGCAACCGGGAGUGCUACGGGACACCGCUGAGCAAGGAGUGGACUCUCGGCAAUGUGUCCUGUGCGGUCAGCCUGGUGACGACUCCUGCAAUAAGUCCGGCCGACUCUUGUACGCUGGCCAAGACAACUGGGUGCACGUCAACUGCGCGCUCUGGUCUGCGGAGGUCUUUGAACAGGGCGAUGGUUCUCUGCACCGGGUGCACUCGGCCAUCUCUAGAGGGCGCUACCUGCGCUGCGAGGUGUGCGGCAUCGUGGGUGCCACGGUCGGGUGCUGCGUGCGGGGUUGUCCCGCCAACUUCCACUUUGGCUGCGCACAAGCGGCGCAAGCCGUCUUCCAAGCCGACAAGAAGGUCUUCUGUUCCUUCCACCAGGGCAACGUGAACCGAGAGGUGGUUGAAGGCGACAAGUUUUCCGUCUGCCGCGCUGUCUACGUGGACCAGCAGGACGUGAACUCCAAAUGGCAGAAAGCGUGGGAGGGCACGCUUGACCAGGAGAUGACACUCAUCGCAGGGGCCAUGACGAUCGAGUGCCUGGGACACUUGACAGAGGCGUCGGACCUUGAAAACAUUCUUGUUCCAGUCAACUACAGGUGUCGGCGCAUGUUCUGGAGCACCCAAAAUCCUAGGCAGCGAGUGGUGUAUGUGUGCCGGACAUAUGAGGUGCGUCCGCCACGCCCUCCGCCGUGCGAGGAAGACUGGGGCACCAACGUGACCAUUGCACACGAUGACCCACCCCCCAGUGCGAGUGCGCUCGCGCAAUGUGAUAUUUCUUCUGAAAACUGUGAUAACACGGGUGGUGGGCUCAUGGUGCCGACGAGUGAGGGCUUGCCGGCUCCCCCGUCUGCCCCCGACUUGGACGACCUCGACGCCAAAAUCCUCGACGAACUUGCUAGGUGUGUCCAGAACAGCGACAGCCAGAUGGACUUUGCUGAGCUGCUGGAGAACAUAUCGAGGUCGUGCGACCCAGCGUCCGCUUCCGCCAGAAAUUCCACUGGUGGUGGCAGCAGCAGCAGCAGCUGCAGUGUGGCGCCAACGGCCAGUGUAAAUAGUGGUGGUAGUGAGUUUGCAGAGGCAGCGACAUCGGCAACACCUCCUGUUGUGGCCAACCAGUCAUUGACAGUGUGCCAGGACAAAUCAGUGAGGAGUGUUGAUGUGGCAAAAUGCGAGGCAGCUACUGCCUCUGUGGUCGGUGGUCAGGACCAGCAGCCAUUUCAUCGGGACAGUGUUCAUGGGGCCGUCGAAACACCUCCGGCGUCCGCCGUGCCUUUGCCUGAGGCGCACGUGACGGUGCAGAGCGGUGGACAGCAACUCAGUAACAGUGGUGCAACGCCAUCUCCUUUGAAGUUUGUGGCAAAACCAGUGAAACAGCAGCAGCAAAGUGUGUGUGGGUGCACCUGUGAAAACCGGACUGCCAAAGCAGCAGCUAGCAAACUGGCCAUGACGCCCAGCCGGGUGCGGUCGCGGCCACCUGCUUCCCCCAAGACCAUCCUGCCCAAGGUGCCAGGCUCCCAAGGUUGCCAGCAGAGGUCAAGGCCUACCCCCUGCCAACAGCAACCCCAUCAACACCACCAUCAGCCGCAGCAGCAUCAUCAGCAUCACCAGCAGCAGCAGCAGCAGAGAGCAACUUCAAUGGUGCCACCUGCCCUGCAGGCCCAGUCUCCGUGCCUCGGCAUUCCCCCCGUGGCCGCCACGCAGCCCUUAGUCAGCUACUCCCCGUAUGCCUACAACUUUCCUAUGAUAAACCAGUUCCCAUCGACCAUAAACAUGACGAGCGUGAGCUGCGACAAGUUUGAGGUGUACGAGGUGCCCGGUGGCACCAUCAUCAUACCGCGGCAGCACUACCGACUCGAAAAUUGUGUGUCUACACUGAGUAUGGCAGCAGCAGGGGCUCAAGUCGCCUAUCUUGGCUCGCUGCCUCUAGUGGCGGCGCCUUUUAUGCAGCCGGCAGCGCCGCCACUUACGUUUAUCGGUGGCCUCGGAGGCCAAGCUGCGGCACCCGUGAUGCCACUUGCCUUGCAGUCGCCCAGCAUGUGUGGCCAGGUGCCCCUCGUAGCGGGUGGCGGGCUCGUAGCGAAUGCAGGUGUUGUGGCCCCCGGUGUGGCCUCUGCAGGGCUUAUGACGUCGGUCACCAGUCAGACCUCUGUUGUGAACACCAGCCCAGCACCAGGUUCAAGGUCAUGCUCAACAGCCAAGCGCGUUCCCUGUUACGCGAAUGCUCACCGCAACAUGCUCGCCCAGAAGCAGUGCGCCAAGGCAGCCAUGAUGCGCAAGCGGAUGCUGCAAUCUGGUAAACAGGUGGCAAAGACUAUCGUGGCUCAAAGCCAAACAUUUGUGUCUCGGGAACGAUGUGCAAAGUGCGUCGUUCUGCCAGUGCGUACAGCAGCCGCCGCCACUGCCGGGGUUGCUGCUGCGAGCGACACCUUGAAAGUUGUACCCACGGCCACUGCUGCCUCUCCACCGGCAACGCCAGUGGUCACGCCCGCGAGCACGACUUUGGCUCCAUCUCCGCCAGUGUUGCCAGUGGCGGCCCAAGCACAGCGCAGUGCCCCGUCCCCCGAGGUUUACCCCGAGCCGGACUCGUCAACGGAGUUCCUCAGUGGACCGGGACGCGUGUCGCCAGUGCUUCUGCCACCGCCGCAGCCGCCGUUCAGCCCGAGCCCCCAGGAGAGCCCUCGGGGUGCCGGCGACUCUGGUUCUCUCGGUGCAGAGUCCAUCUUUGCGCUGCUCCAAAAAGCGGCUCAGCGCAUCCUGCAGGAUGGCUGGCCGACCGACACCGAUCCCGAACCGUGCCCUCCGACAUCAUCCAAUGCCGUGCCACCAGACGGCAAGGAACCUGUGCAUAGCACGGUGGGAAUGCUCCCUCCGGCAGUGCCACUGCGGGAGGAGGUGCGCUCGUCGCACUUUGACCGGCCCUACAUUGUCUACGAGAUCAGCAGCGAGGAUGGCUUUCUGCACUCUUCACCCGAUGCACAUGAAGUAUGGCGAUACCUUUUUGAAAAGCUUCAGGAUGCCCGUGCUGGUGCCAACAUGCAACCCUUGACUAAUGAUGAUGUGGACGGCUUCGCCCUGAUGGGUCUCACGCACAAGGCCGUUGUGUACCUCACAGAGCAGCUGCGAGGGGCUGACAACUGUGAGAACUACGUCUUCAAAUACCACAAGCGCAACAGCACCAAGCUUCCAGAGAACCCGUCAGGCUGCGCCCGUCUGGAGGGCUUCAAGUCGCGAGGACACCAUGACAUGUUCAAGUUCCUGGCGUCUGCACAUCGGUCGCCGCCCUGCUACGAUCCCAGCAACGACAACGGAGAUGAGGUGGAGGUUCUGCACAAGUCGUCGCGGCGCCUGACCAGCCUGGACCUGCCCAUGGCCAUGCGCUUCCGGCACCUCAAGAACACCGCCAAGGAGGCCGUCGGUGUCUACAGGUCGAGCAUUCAUGGAAGAGGCCUGUACUGCAAGCGCAACAUUGAUGGAGGAGAGAUGAUAAUUGAGUAUGCCGGAGAAGUGAUCCGAGCAGCCCUCACGGACAAGAGGGAGAAGUACUAUGAGAGCAAAGGGAUUGGUUGUUACAUGUUCCGCAUUGACGACCAUGAGGUUGUUGAUGCCACUAUGCAUGGCAAUGCUGCCAGGUUCAUCAACCACUCCUGUGAGCCCAACUGUUACUCAAAGGUGAUUACUGUGGACAACAAGAAACACAUUGUGAUAUUCGCACUGAGAAGCAUUCUCAAAGGAGAGGAGCUGACGUACGACUAUAAGUUCCCCAUUGAAGACGUCAAGAUUCCGUGCUCGUGCGGCUCCCGGAGGUGCCGCAAGUUUUUGAACUGAGUGGGGCGCAUGCGCACUGCUGCGACGACGACCGAACUCUUGCUGCCUCCACGGUGGCCCCCUACUGUCCCCAUGCAUCGAGCUUACACUAGUUGUGGGACGUUUGUACAUACGCUUUUAUCUCCAGUCCUUGCGUUUCUGUCUGUAGCUCCGCCCUCACCACUGCUGUCAUGUCCGCAUCCAUCUCUCUGUCGCAUUAUUAUAAUUAUUAUUCCUAUCAUUAUUAUUAUUAUUAUUGCCAUCAAUCCUCACUCUUGUGUUCCCCCUUUUGAAAGUGCUUCAUCACCACAAACGCGGAAUCCACCUCCCCUUCCCUCCACUAUGUACGUAUAGGAUGUGUGUGCCAUGGUUGCAUGCCUUUUAUAUUUUUUCCUUGAUAAGUGCGUGCGAACAACGCGUUUUAUCUUAGAGUUAGCGAGUGCUAAAGCGGAUGUAUGGGCACCUGUCUUUGUUGUCGAGCGAGCCUGCUCUUUUGGUACCUUGUGUAAAAAGGAAAAAAAAAUACAAAUGAACGAGCAAGUAAAGAACACAAAUUAUUGUAGCAAAGAUAACGGAGUGAACUACAGAUAACAUGUUAGCGGGGACCGUCGUGCCCGAGAGAUAUUUUUCUGGUCGGCGGAGGUGCGCGCGUGCACCGGCGCCUUGUUUCUUCGAUUCGACGAGAGAAAAAAAAAAAAUGGUGAGAUCAAGAGUGAUGUGUUACACGAUACCUGAAAGUGCCUUGAGUGGUUUUUACGGGUGCCAACUGUGAUCCCUGGAAGUCAACCUGUACAUAGCAUAGAAGUUUUAGCUGUAAUUACCACCAUCAAGGAGAGCACGAGACAACAACAUUGUAACAAAUUCGGGGAGCUAUUGCGACACUAUUGGAAAGCAACACAACAGUGCAGAAAAAAAAGGAAAACGAUAAAGUAUGCACAUUUAUAAAUAUCUCAUCUUAUAGUAUAUAUAUAUUAUAUAUAUGUAUAUCGGUUGUUGUGUUCAGAACUUUGGAAUCGUGCGUAUCUGUAGUGUCACUAUGGCAUGUAAUUGCAAGCACACACGCUUUGUUCUUCUGUCGUCGUCAAGUCAUUCGGCGAGGGCUCUCGGGGUGUGCGCGCCCGAACCCUGCCCUGCCACCAUUUUUUUCAUUGUCGUUUGCUCGGGAGCAAAAAACUGCACAUGAACAAUUGUAACUUGUUUUUAGAUCUUUUUGACUGUGCAUGUUUACCGCACCGUGCUACUGAGGCUAUGCGGACAACACGUGACAUUGUAAAGUAUGUUGCUAGAGUGCUUUUUCUCCCCCUCCUCUUUUUUCCCAAGCAAAAGUUGUGAUGCCUCUGUUAGCAUGCACGUGAUGUUUAGGGCGCAAAUUUAUUGCCGCAGCAUUUUAGGACUAGUAGAAGUGAUUGAGACUGUACAUAUAUGAGAAUGCAUAAAGAUGUUUGUUUUCUGAA